rnacentral:rRNA from 1 species
UACGGGGGGGCAAGCGUUGUUCGGAAUUACUGGGCGUAAAGGGCUCGUAGGCGGCCAACUCAGUCAGACGUGAAAUCCCCAGGCUCAACCUGGGAACUGCGUCUGAUACUGGAUGGCUUGAAUCCGGGAGAGGGAUGCAGAAUUCCAGGUGUAGCGGUGAAAUGCGUAGAUAUCAGGAGGAACACCGGUGGCGAAGGCGGAUCUCUGGGCCGAUACUGACGCUGAGGAGCGAAAGCGUGGGGAGCGAACAGG